UUUUAUUACGGCGCAGUUGUUUUGUGCUUUUGCACGUCGUGUCUUGUAAACAUUGCGUAUCUGUAUAUUUAUUAAUAUUAGAUUAUAAUAUUAAUUAAAUUUUCUUCAUUUUUAAACGUAGAAUUUGCUCUUAUUUAGUAGUCAACGUCACAGCGUUUUAGCACAAAAUUAAGUGAAAUUUCUGUAUGCCUUUGUCAAAAUACUUAAAUUCUAGUUUAAGUGGGAACGUUCGUUAUGUCUGACGGUGAAGGAUCAGCACAGUUGGCGACUGUGGAAACAGGACAAGUCGAAUUGGAGCAGCAACAGAAUAUGAAUAUUACCAAGGAUGAUGAUGAACCUAAUCCAAAAAAAUUGAAACUGUCUAGCAGUAAUGCUGGAAACGGCGGAGGAACUGAUGGCAGGCCCGUACAACAGGCUGGUUCGGAUAAGUUAGAACAUAGGUUGGGUGGCAUAUUAUGCUGUGCAGUGUGCUUAGACCUCCCCCGAUCAGCUAUUUAUCAAUGUACAAAUGGCCAUUUAAUGUGUGCUGGAUGUUUUGCUCACUUAUUAGCUGAUGCAAGAUUACGGGAUGAAAUGGCUACAUGUCCAAACUGUAGAGUUGACAUAGCAAAAAACACAGCAACACGUAAUCUUGCUGUUGAAAAAGCUGUCAGUGAAUUGCCAGCAGAGUGUCAAUUCUGCGCUAAGGAAUUUCCUCGCAAUACUUUACAUCAUCAUGAACAACAACUUUGCUCUGAAAGACCAGUAAAAUGUGGAUACAGUAAAAUAGGUUGUCCAUGGCGUGGCCCAAGUCAUGAAGCAUCCGAACAUGAAAAAGUUUGCCCUCAUCCAUCUGCUUCUGGUAAAGAUGUUAUGUCUGCUUUAGAAGCAAUUGAUCAAAAAUUUCAAGAAGAAAAACUCUUAUAUGAUACGAUUUUUGAUUUAAUGAGUUUUGAAAAAAUUACAUUUAAUGAUCUGCAAUUGAAACCUUAUAGAACAGAAGAAUUUGUGCAUAAAUUGUAUUAUGAAACUGCCAGAUUUUCAGCAUUCAAUUUUCAGUGGGUUGUGAAAACACGGAUUAACAAUAUGCAAAGAGAUCCAGCACUUAGUGUAGAUCGUCAUAUGUCUUAUCAGGUAAAUUAUACAUGGUAAUUAUUUUACAAACAAUAAACCUUAAUAAAUAUAAUAUUGAAUCCUUGAAUAAUGCUAUGUAAUUAUUGAUUGACAUUUAAAUUUUAAUACUUAUUAUUUUAUAGUGAAAAAUGGUAAGUUUUGUGUAGUUAUAAAAUAAAGUUUUUGAAUUUUAAUUUCUUUUAUCUAAUAUGAAUCAUAAUUUGCGUAAAACUCAACCACAAAUGUCCAUGUGCGUGUCCAUCCUUUUAGCGUUAGGUAACAAACAACUUUGGAAUUCACUCAAUACCAUACUCUUGUAAUUUUCAAUCUAAACAAAUACAAAAACAACUGGGAUAAUGCGAACAUUGUGUUGCUAGACAAGACUAUAUUUAAUUUAAAACAUGUUCCAAUGUCAAGAUACAUCAUCAUAUUCUUCUACAACUUCAUGACAAAUUAAUCAUUACUGCUGAAGAAACAACAACUGAUCAUUGAAAUAGAGAUGGCCAAUUUGGAUCAAACCAAUGGAAUUAAUUGUAUAAACAUUUUUGUUUUUUUCUUCAUUUAUAAAGUAAAAAAUUUAUGGAUUAAUUUCACGUUAGGCUAUUUUGUAUUAUAAUAUUUUAAAUAUUGUAUUUUUUUUUCUUUUAUUUAAUAAAUUUUUAUAAUAAAUAAUAGUUAAGAAUAUAUUGGUAAGUUUAAAAGAGUAAGUUGGUUGAAUAAAGCUUAUUUUAAUUGUGUACUGGUAAGUCUAACCUGUUAUAAAUUAAAAGCACUGAUAAUAAUUUGGGUUGAGUUUUUAUUUUUCAGGUUCAAUUGGAUUUAUAUGAUAAUAAUUUAUAAUUUGUCACUUAUAUUUACAAGAUUAUUUUAGGACAUUAGUUUUACUGUCUCAUUAUUCUAAUGAAUAAUUUUUUUUUUUUAUUCAUUCCUCCAUUUCCUUUGCACAAUGAAU